AUUCAUCUGAAGAGUCCUAAACAGGACGAAACGCGAGUCAUUUAU
rfam:Schistosoma haematobium scaffold1369_5, whole genome shotgun sequence.